rnacentral:lncRNA from 1 species
UAGUGAUCCAGUACUCUACACUACACACGUGUCUUACCUGGCUCUUGACAGUCCGAGCUGCAAGGAUCCCACAGGACUGGUUUGUGAAUAAUUAAUUUAAAUUUCUAACUUCGAAUCCCAAUCUUUUUUCUGUGGUGUCAGCGAUUUAAGCAAACUGUAGCGGAAGGUCCAUCAGUAGCAGCAGGAUUGAGGGCGCCUCCACAAUAACGAUCCGAAACGUCCGUUGGUAUCAAAGGAUUAAACCCAUUUGGGAUGAGGACGAAAUCAUCAGGACAAUUAACUGCACCAUUUCUGGAUGUACUAGACGGAAAUCUACCAAGCCGGAAGCUCUGGCCAUCGCCUCGAAUAAAAGCCUCAUAUCCAAAUUAUUUUAAACAUCUACUUCAACAUGGAAGCUUUCAAGCCGGAGAAAGAAAAAAAAAUCUCGGCUUAGGUACAAUGUAUCAUGAAGUAAUCCGGAAUGGCUUCACAUGUUGUCACGCUACCUGUUUGUUGGUAAUGAUUUCAUUCCGGAAACAAAUUUUGUAAUCCAUAUCAGCCAAUUGACGCAUACCAGAAGCGUCUCUCCAAUUGAAGGACUUCACAGAUCCGGUACCCAUGUGUCUUGUAAAAUAUUGAAGGCAAUCUCUUGGAGCUGUGGUUAAAAGGCGGGAUAAAAAAUUGAGAAAGUCGGCACCACAAGGAAUGAGUGAGAUACCAAUGUUCCAAGUACGAGUGACCGACGAUACACCGAACUUCAUUAAGAACAGGAACUCAGUCGUUGGUGAUGGAGCUUCCAAGUACACUGAAGACAAUUUUUUUAAACAAGUUACGGUAAUCGGAAUCGCAAUGUGACGUGGCAGGAUUCGGCUGAGCGACGUCACGUGAAGCAGUAAUGGAUUAAAAUUUCAGUAGACGAUAUGACAAACAGUGGGUCGUAAUAAGAAUUCGCAUCAUACCGAACUUGGCAAAUAGGUUUUCUCUGCUCGAUAAGGCUGUUGUCCAAUGUGAAAGUCAGACUACAAGACGUAUCGGAACUUACAGAAGGAGGGUUUCGCCAAUAAGUGUUAUUCAACGUCGUCUUUUCUCCGCAUUUCACAAUAGUGUCUUUAUUAUAAAGAUGCAGCAAACAGCCAGUGAUCCACAUGAACCACCCGAACGUCCUCCAUAUGCAUUGCAAAAGGAAGAUGGGACGCAAUUUCCCAUGUGGCCAUCUCUGCUUGUACAACUGCUAAAAGUCCUUGGCGAUUCAGGGUUGCGGCCCUUGGGUCUCGGAGCAGCGUUGAUAAAUGGCGAAAUGAACUUGUACGCAUUGUUUAUAUUGGAUAGGCCGAACAGAUUUUGACGAGGAACCACAAGAUGGAGCAGCUUUAAAUCGUAUGCAGAUAUCAGACGAACUUGGAACUUGGUCAGUCACGACUUCUGCUAAAACAUAAGUUGUCGUAUUUCACCACGAUUCAAUAAUAAGGUAUUUCUGAUGAAACGAAGGAAGACUUCAGGUUUUCGGGAGUGAAAAAGUCCUGGUAAGUGCUAUUCUAAAGUUUACCCGGUCUUGCUGGAAAUGGGUGAAUUAGGAGUUGACGAGCUUUUCUGCCACUGUAAUCAGUUUCGAUUGCUCGAGUUGAUGAUGUCAUAUCAGUACGCACAAUGUCGCCAAGGAGAAGUGCGUUUACAAAAAAUAAAACUAAAUGCAUGUUCGAUUUCUGCACUCACUAAAAUUUGAUCGGUAAAGUUACUACGACAAUAACGGAAGCAGUCCUAUAAAUACUUGAUCGAUGUUGGA